AGUCAAAAUGCCUGGGCCGAUUUUUUGUCCCAGUCCAGCCCUGCCUCAUCCUCAUUUAAGCCGUGAAUCAAUCCAAAAAGAUUUGAUUUAGAUUAAAAAAACAAAACAAAAAACAUUAAAAGAAAUAAAAUAAGUCAAAGGCACCAGGCUGUGUGGAUGAUUCUUAGAUAGUAACAGACUCCGGGGUGGAUCCAUCUUCCAGUCAGCAGAUCCACGGAGUCCCUGAUUCCACAGGAUCAGCUCUCCUUCAGAUCCAUCAGACUCACUGCAGACCCACAGAGGAUCCACUCAUUUUAUUUCUGCCCACGAUCAGACUUUACAGAAGCUCUGUGGACUCAAACAGAAUACAACAGGUGAUGCAGGUGGAUGAUCAUGGAGGAGGCACAACGAGGUCUGAUAUUAGCAGGCAAAUCCAACCACGUCAGCCUGCAGCAGGUGGAGGACGUCCAAGAAGCUGUGCUGCUGUAAGGAACAUGAUCCUGCUGCUCCAUGGAAACAGGUUUAAUGGUGCCAGAGCUUCUAUCAGAGGCUUCAGACAGAAGGUGAAGCAGUUUGUUUGCAUGAACACAGAUUUAGAUGGUGUCUGUGGGCUGGGUGGAUGUUCUCCUCUCACUGUGAUGGAGGUAAAAAAGCUUUCUUCAGUAACAUAAUGACACAGUUUACACGUUUAUAAGGAUUUGAUUCAUGUUUACACUUGUUUUGUGUUGACUUUGGGGAUAAAACCAGUUAAUAAGAAUAUAAUAAAAUAAUAAUAAAAGCACUAAUGUGACAUUUUAGUCUCUUUGUUUGUCCUUAAAAAGCACCGAAAAUAUUAUAACAUCAUUAUAUUAUUAUUAUUUGCUGUGGGUGUGGCUAUUUUAAAGGGCUACAGGGUUUCAUCCAUGUUUAAGAAGAACUCGGUCGUGUUUGCAGAAAACAAGUUGAUUUGCGUUCUGUGUGAAUGUUUGAACUCGUGCUGUGUGACGCUGGAAGUUCUUCUGAUUUCUGGAUGUUUUCAUCUCAAAAUGCUGCAGUUAUAAAACUGAUCACAGGUCCACCUGAAGACAGCUUGAACAUGAAUACAGUGUUGAUAACAGCUUGGUUAUAAUAAUCUUAUAAAUGCAUAAAUAUAUCAGUGUGUAUUUUGUGUCACAAAGGGUCUCAGUGAUGUGUUAAAUACAGAAAUCUUGUUUUGAGAUAAAACUUUUAGAAGCUGUAGUUGUGGACGACGGUGUGACUGCUGUAAAAUAAGAGCGAUGCUAAAACAUAUUUGGAGAACUGUUGACAGACUAAAUCCUAAAAAUCCAACAGUAUCUGUGUUUCUUCAUUGUAUGAAACAAACAUGAAUUCCUGCCUGACUGGUUCAGUUAGUUUGUUCAGCAGAGUUUAAAUAAAGAUCUAAAACUGAACGUCUUGAAAGAUUAAAAGUUUUAUUUAAAAAACAUCUUUUUGCUGCAGUUUAUGAGAUUUUAUUUUUUUAAUAAUUGUUCAGUUAAUAUUUGAUGUCCUGAUGAGCUGUAAGAUGAUGUCAUUAUUUCUGCCAUUACUGGAUAAAAAUUAAUCACAUUUAGAGAAAAUCUCUGCUCUGAGACAGAGAUUAGACAUGUUUCUAAUCUGAUGUAAUCUGAGUAUCACUGAUAGACGACUCUGUGACAGCUGCAGCAGACAUGUUUAAUGAGUCACUGUUCAUACUGUUCAUGGUUCAGUCACAGUAACUGUCCCAACUCUGUGAUUAAUGUCAAGUUUUAUUAUUAAAAGAUUAUAAUUAUUGUCAGGGUCCUGGGUCAUUUUCACCCAGCAUUCUUAGUUUUCUUGUAUUUUUGAAUUUUGUUAGUUCAUUAUUUAUUUUCUGGUUGUUCAGUUUAGUUUAUUGGAUCCCCGCCUGUGUCUCUGCCCUCUGUCUGUGUAUUUAGGUCAUAGUUGUGUGCGCCUCCCUGUGUUUCCUUGUGAGUAGCUUUAGUAUUUCCCAGUUUAGUUUUUGUAUCGCCCUGUCUGUAAAUAAAGCUGCAUUUUGAGUUUGA